UACAGAGGGUGCGAGCGUUGUCCGGAAUCACUGGGCGUAAAGGGCGCGUAGGCGGUCUGGUAAGCGUGCGGUGAAAGCCCGGGGCUCAACCCCGGGUCGGCCGUGCGAACUGCUGGACUGGAGCUUGUCAGAGGCAGGCGGAAUUCCGGGUGUAGCGGUGGAAUGCGUAGAGAGUCCGGAAGAACACCGGUGGCGAAGGCGGCCUGCUGGGACGGUACUGACGCUGAGACGCGAAAGCGUGGGGAGCGAACAGG
rnacentral:rRNA from 1 species